CGUUGCUCGUCGAGGUUCAGUCACAGUCCGGACCCGAGGAGAGCUGGACGCGUCUGUGGGAGGUUUCUGUGGCGGUGCUGCGUCUGUGAUCGCGCUGUGGGAGUCUGUGGGGGAAGAACGGUUGCGAAGAAGACAUAAUUUGAAAGAAAAAAAAUGUUUUGAAAUAUUGCAGACACUCUGAAAUAAGUAAAUAAAAAAUAUAUAUAUAGUCAAUUGAACCGAAUUUUUAUAUCAGAGGAAAGAGAUAUAUCCAAAACAGUAGAAAUAAAUUAAUCCCAAGUGCAGUGAACGAAAGAGAGAGGAAGACAAGAAGAAAAGAGUGAAAAGGGAACAGAGAGAAAAGAGUUAAAAGGGGUAAUUAAGAGCAGAAACACCCCUCAAAAAAGGAGAGAAAGAAAGGAAGAAGAAACAGUGAAAAGAAAGAGAGAGGAAGAGAAAGAGAGACAAGGAAGAGAACAACGAUAAGUCAAGAUGAUGUUGUCGUUCAGGACGGAAUGCACCAUCUUGCUGAAGGCGGCCAAACCCGCCCCUCGACCCCGGCCAAAAGAAGCCGAGAAAGGUAAGAAAUCGGAACUUUUCGGCAGCAGUACGAGAAAAAAAGACACAUCUCCGGGUAUGUUAAAAAUGAAAUAGAAGUCUUUACAGCAUAAUAUUAUCGGCGUUUUCACUCGGUCGGCGCGG